rnacentral:rRNA from 2 species
UAGGGAAUAUUAGAAAUGGACGAAAGUCUGAUCUAGCAACACCGCGUGUGCGAUGAAGGCCUUCGGGUCGUAAAGCACUUUUUGGAAGGAAUAGGAAGGAAUGUACUUCCAGAAUAAGUCUCGGCUAACUACGUGCCAGCAGCCGCGGUAACACGUAGGAGGCAAACGUUAUCCGGAUUUACUGGGCGUAAAGCGCGUGUAGGUGGUACUGUAAGUAGGGCGUGAAAGCUCCUGGCUCAACUGGGAGAGGCCGUUCUAAACUACAGAACUAGAGGAUGGUAGAGGGAGGUGGAAUUCCAGGUGUAGCGGUGGAAUGCGCAGAUAUCUGGAGGAACACCGGUGGCGAAGGCGGCCUCCUGGACCAUUCCUGACACUCAGACGCGAAAGCUAGGGUAGCAAACGGG